CCUGGGUAGUAUAUAGUUAUUUUCUCGAAACCCAAAGAGUUUGGCGGUACUUCAGUCUAGUUAGAGGAGCUUGUUCGGUAAUCGAUAUUCCGCGAAAAAUCUUACGUACUUUUGUAAUCAGUUUAUAUACCGCCGUUAUUAGAUAAUAUUAAAAAGUAUACAAUUAUCUAAGUAUAUCCAAAUAUAGUAUAUCAGGUCAAGGUGUAGCUUAUGGGUACGGUCUGAAUGAGCUACAAUUUAGAUAUAAAUAUGAAUUUUGUUUUAAAAAAAAUAAAUGAAGGUGGAUUUAAUAGUAAUUG
rnacentral:rRNA from 1 species